AAUUAUUAAUUUACUUUAUUUUUAUUUAUUUUAUUUUUAUAGAAAUAACUUUUAUUUUAGUAGGUUUUACUGAAUAAAUUUUUUUAGUUAUAGUGAAUUAGUACUGUAGGGGGAUAUUAGUGGAAUUAAGUGGAAGGAGAUUUAAUUUAUUGUACCUUUUGUAUCAGGGGUAAUUAAUUACUUUUAUUUAUUUAAUUUUCCCGAAAUUAGGGGAGAUAUAAUUAUAUGUUAGUUAAUGUUUCAUAAUUAUUAAUAAUAUAAUUAUAGUAAUGAUAAGUUAUUCGUCCCUAAAUAUCUGGUUUCUUAAGAGUUGAAUUUAAUUCAGAAUUAUUUAUUUUUAAUUUUAAUUUUAUUAAAUUAAAUUAGGUAGUUUAAGAUUUUCGGGGAUAAGCUCGGGAAUUUUUUUAUAAUUUUUAAUUUUCAAGGGAUUAUGUAGGCUUAGAAUCAGCCAUCCUUAAUUUCGUUAUAGAAUGUUCUUUUUUGUUUUUUAUUUAAUUAAGUUUAAUUUAAUAUUAAGAUUUUUCAUUUAAUUUUUUAUUGUUAAUAAUAAUGAUUAUAUUAGUAUAUUUGUAUGUAAAAUAUAGGAACUCGGCAAAAUUUAUGCCCGCCUGUUUAACAAAAACAUGUUCUUUAGAAUUUUUAUUUAAGGUUUAACCUGCCCAAUGAGUACUUCAAUGGCCGCGGUAUAUUAACCGUGCUAAGGUAGCAUAAUCAUUUGUCUUUUAAUUAAGGGCUUGAAUGAAUGGUUGGACGAGGUAUAAUCUUUCUUUAUUUUAUUUUUAGAAUUUAUCUUUUUAGUCAAAAGACUAAAAUAUAUCUGUGGGACGAGAAGACCCUAUAGAUCUUUAUAAAAAGUAGUUUUAAGUUUAUUUGGUUAUUUUUAAUUUAAAAUUAUUUAUUUAUUUAAUUGGGGUGAUUUCAGAAAUUUAGUAACUUCUGUUUAUUUAAUUCGUUAAUUUUCGUUUUUAUGAUCCAUUAUUAAUGAUUAUAAGAUUAAGUUACCUUAGGGAUAACAGCGUAAUCUCUUCAGAGAGUUCAUAUCGAUGAAGGGGUUUGCGACCUCGAUGUUGGAUUAAAAUAAGUAUUAGGUGCAGCAAUUUAAUAACUAGGUCUGUUCGACCUUUAAUUUUUUACAUGAUCUGAGUUCAGACCGGCGUAAGCCAGGUCAGUUUCUAUCUUCAGUUACGGGUUUAUGUCUUAGUACGAAAGGACCUGGCAUAAGGAAUAAAUUCUUUUAUAGUUGAUUAAUAUU
rnacentral:rRNA from 1 species